AUUGAACGCUGGCGGCAGGCCUAACACAUGCAAGUCGAGCGAGCGGCGGACGGGUGAGUAAUGUCUGGGAAACUGCCCGAUGGAGGGGGAUAACUACUGGAAACGGUAGCUAAUACCGCAUACCAUCAGAUGUGCCCAGAUGGGAUUAGCUCGUAGGUGGGGUAAUGGCUCACCUCGGCGACGAUCCCUAGCUGGUCUGAGAGGAUGACCAGCCACACUGGAACUGAGACACGGUCCAGACUCCUACGGGAGGCAGCAGUGGAUAAUAUUGCACAAUGUGCGCAAGCCUGAUGCAGCCAUGCCGCGUGUAUGAAGAAGGCCUUCGGGUUGUAAAGUACUUUCAGCGAGGAGGCGUUACUCGCAGAAGAAGCACCGGCUAACUCCGUGCCAGCAGCCGCGGUAAUU
rnacentral:rRNA from 1 species